rnacentral:pre_miRNA from 1 species
CUCUGGCUGGAGCUCCUGCCAGAGCACCUCUGGCUGGAGCUCCUGCCUGGAGGUGCUCUGGCUGGAGCUCCUGCCUGGAG